UCCUACGGGAGGCAGCAGUAGGGAAUUUUCCACAAUGGACGAAAGUCUGAUGGAGCAACGCCGCGUGAACGAUGAAGGUCUUCGGAUUGUAAAGUUCUGUUGUCAGGGACGAACAAGUACCGUUCGAACAGGGCGGUACCUUGACGGUACCUGACGAGAAGCG
rnacentral:rRNA from 1 species